rnacentral:rRNA from 1 species
UGCCAGACUCCUACGGGAGGCAGCAGUGGGGAAUAUUGCACAAUGGGCGAAAGCCUGAUGCAGCAACGCCGCGUGAGCGAUGAAGGCCUUCGGGUCGUAAAGCUCUGUCCUCAAGGAAGAUAAUGACGGUACUUGAGGAGGAAGCCCCGGCUAACUACGUGCCAGCAGCCGCGGUAAUACGUAGGGGGCUAGCGUUAUCCGGAAUUACUGGGCGUAAAGGGUGCGUAGGUGGUUUCUUAAGUCAGAGGUGAAAGGCUACGGCUCAACCGUAGUAAGCCUUUGAAACUGGGGAACUUGAGUGCAGGAGAGGAGAGUGGAAUUCCUAGUGUAGCGGUGAAAUGCGUAGAUAUCAGGAGGAACACCGGCGGCGAAGGCGGCCUGCUGGACCGUGACUGACGUUGAGGCUCGAGAGCGUGGGGAGCAAACAGGAUUAGAUACCCGGGUA